rnacentral:rRNA from 1 species
GGGGGAAGUAAACUCAGGGAAACUUGAGCUAAUACCGCAUAAUGCAGCGGCUCGACAUCGAGACAGUUGUUAAAGCGGGGGAUUCGCAAGAACCUCGCGCCUGAAGAGAAGCCUGCGGCAGAUUAGCUAGUUGGUAAGGUAAUGGCUUACCAAGGCGACGAUCUGUAACCGGCCUGAGAGGGCGGUCGGUCACACUGACACUGACAUACGGGUCAG